rnacentral:rRNA from 1 species
CAGUCGCCGCGGGAAUACAGAGGGUGCGAGCGUUAAUCGGAAUUACUGGGCGUAAAGCGCACGCAGGCGGUCUGACAAGUCAGAUGUGAAAUCCCCGGGCUUAACCUGGGAACUGCAUUUGAAACUGUCAGGCUGGAGUCUUGUAGAGGGGGGUAGAAUUCCAGGUGUAGCGGUGAAAUGCGUAGAGAUCUGGAGGAAUACCGGUGGCGAAGGCGGCCCCCUGGACAAAGACUGACGCUCAGGUGCGAAAGCGUGGGGAGCAAACAGGAUUAGAUACCCCAGUAGUCCCUGUCUCUUAUAC